UACAGAGGGUGCGAGCGUUAAUCGGAAUUACUGGGCGUAAAGCGUGCGUAGACGGUUAUCUAAGUCGGAUGUGAAAGCCCCGGGCUCAACCUGGGAAUUGCAUUCGAGACUGAAUAGCUAGGGUGCGGUAGAGGGAAGCGGAAUUUCCGGUGUAGCGGUGAAAUGCGUAGAUACCGGAAGGAACGUCAGUGGCGAAAGCGGCUUCCUGGACCAGCACCGACGUUCAGGCACGAAAGCGUGGGGAGCAAACAGG
rnacentral:rRNA from 1 species